rnacentral:rRNA from 1 species
UUGACGGUACCCUACUAGAAAGGAGCCGCUAACUUCGUGCCAGAAGCGUCGGUAAUACGGGGGCUCCAAGCGUUAUCCGGUGUUAUUGGGCGUAAAGAGUCGUGUAGGUGGUUGGGUAAGUUAUCUUUCAAAUAUCUUUGCUUAACAAAGAGGAGGGGGAUAAUACUGCUCGACUAGAAUUUUCUCAAGGGAGAUCGGAACUGAGGGAGGAGUAGUGAAAUGCGUUGAUACCCUCGGGAACACCAGUGGCGUAGGCGGAUCUCUGGGAGAAGAUUGACACUGAGACACGAAAGCCAGGGGAGCGAAGCAGAUUAGAGACCUGCGUAGUCCUAGCCGUAAACGCAUGCUUGCUAGCUGCAUGAAUCUACCUUCGGGUGGUAUCGUGUGGCGAAGGUAACCCGUUAAGCAAGCCGCCUGGAAAGUACGGCCGCAAGGCUGAAAUUCAAAGGAAUUGGCGGGGAGGCACACAACCAGUGGAACAUGUGGUUUAAUUCGAGACUAACCGAAGAACCUCACCAGGGUUUGACAUGUAGCUGCACGUCUUAAGAAAUUAAGACUCUCUUGAAGGUGCUACACAGGUGCUGCAUGGCUGUCGUCAGCUCGUUCCGUGAGGAGUGCCCUUAAGUGGGACAACGAGCGCAACCCCUAUUACAUGCUAGAAAUGUCAUGUAAGACUGCCUUGCCAUUUGGCGGGGAGGAAGGAGGGGCAGACGUCAAGUCCGCAUGGUCCUUAUGCCCUGGGCUACACACAUGUUACAAUGAGUACGGCAAUGAGUCUGUCGCGAGCACGUAAGUGUAAGCUAAUCUCUUAAAUGUACUCUCAGUGGGGAUUGAGGUCUGCAACUCGACCUCAUGAACACGGAAUUGGUAGUAAUCGCGGGUCAGCUAUACCGCGGUGAUACGCUCUUGCCUCUUGCACACACCGCCCGUCAAACCAGCAAAGU